rnacentral:rRNA from 1 species
AUGGAGCUUGCGGACCGGGCGAUGGGCCCCCUCCUCCGCAAGCUCGGCGACCUGCUCGUGGCAGAGUUCACCCUGGACAACUGCGUGAACAAGGGUGUCAAGUCCCUCCUUAUGGAGCUGGAGAUGAUGUACGUCGUCCUCUAUAAAGUUGGUGACGUGCUGGCAGAGCAACUCGACCCGCAGGUACGGAUCUGGGCAGGCAAGGUCCACGAGCUCUCCUACAACAUGGAGGACGCCGUGGAUGCCUACAUGGUCCAUGUCUACGAUGGCGGCCAUGGUGAACUGGGCCCCAAUAACAUGAAGAAUAGAACCAAGAAGUUCUUCAAGCGAACCAAGAAGCUGUUCAGCAAGGGCAGGGCUCUCCACCAAAUCUGCGACGCUGUCCAAGAUGCUCAAGGGCUCGCCAAGGAGCUGGGUGAGCUCCGUCAAAGGUAUGGGUUCGAGGCAUACGCGGAUGGUGUGGGGAAUGCCAUUGAUCCUCGCCUCAAGGCUGUGUAUAGAGAUGUCACGGAGCUUGUAGGCAUCGAGGCCACCCGGGAUGAGCAGAUCGAAAAGCUCGUUGAUGGGGAUGUGAAGUCCAAGCAGCAACUCAAGACACUGUCUAUUGUUGGAUUCGGUGGAUUGGGGAAGACCAGCUUUGCCAAAGCGGUGUACGACAAGAUCAGGGCGCAGUUCAGUUGUGGAGUGUUUGUUUCCGUGUCGCGAAAUCCUGACAUCACAAAGAUUUUUAAGAAGAUGUUGUAUGGACUUGACAUUACUGAGUUUUCAAACAUCAAUGAAGCUGUUAGGCAACCAACAAUUCAUCGAUGA